CUUGGAAUGGCUGUGCCCUGUGGGGGCUCUACAUCUUCUAGACUGCAAGUGGAAGAAAAGGGGUCAUCACAGAAGGGCAGGAAGUUCAAGAUGCCAAAAAUAAGGGAGAGUGCUUUUGGAAACCUUUGGUCAAAGGUCCCCACAGACAGGACUUCCCCUGUGUCUGAUUCAACUCCAUUUGGCCAGCUUUCAAACGCCUACUUCUUGCUGGACUCUGUACUGCAUGGCAAGAGGUUUACAGAUAGACUGCCAGUGGAAGAUGGUUUAAAACUGUCACAGUGAGAUGCUGGGAAAGACAGCCAUAGGAUACUGUGGAUGCCCCGCAAAAGGACAGUUGUCUAAACUGGAGGCUGAGGGUCCUUCCUGGAGGCAGAAGGGUAGGAGACGAGGCAAUAUGCAACAAGAAGCCGGAGAGGUGGCAGGUACCAGACUUCAGAUGUGGAAGUCAAGAAUGGAGAACUAGGCUGCCUGGAAGCUCAGACUACAAAUUCUUCCGGCACUUGGGUGCCUUAAACUUAGCAUCUUAGAGUUAUUUCAGCUUCAGCAAUCAUCUUAUCUGGUGCCACCAAAUAGAGUACCAGAGCAACAAGAGGCUCCCCUCUGUCACACCGGCAAUUAGAAGUAGAACUAGACGACAUGCGUGGGGUUUCCAAUGCCAUUAUCCAGCACUCUCUGCCACGCCCCUUAUCUUCUUCCUGGACCUAGAUAGAAGAGGCUUUCAGUCUGGAGUCAAGGCUCAUGAAACAGCAAGUCUGGAGCUGCCAUUUUGUGGGUACUACAGACCGUUCUUACAUCCCCUAGGGAUACUGGGAUAACACAGGAGGGGCCAGACACUGAAGAGCCCCAGGCAGAUCUGUCCCCGCAGUGCCCAGGAUGCUGAGGAUGGGUACAAUUUUCAUCAGGUGAUAUCCGCCCCGCUCCCACAUUAUUGACCACGUGAGCAGAGACAGGCUCUUACCACGACGGCAUCACUGAGCACCCCACAGCCCCCAACGCUCUGGGCUGGGGUUCCCAGGCCAGGUCUUAGGUUGCAUCCCCAACCUAGACCCUGACCUUCCCCGCUUGACUAUGGACCUCCACUUAUCUUGACUGAACCCAGAGAACCAGAACAAGAGGAUUGAAGCUCUGGCUGAGGAAAUGCAGAGAUGCAGAUGCGGCCUGCGGUCCAUUGCAGAGAGAUUUUGGUAAAAGUGAUUUUGGAUGCUUUAUCACAAGUCCAGGGCCCUCCACGACCAAUCUCAGAAUCCCUUUCCUUUCUAGUCUCUCAAACGUCAACAGGCCAGCAAUACAGUCUCAUCACCAAAUGCAUCUCAGCAAAGAAAGGCUUGAAAAUAAACAUACGGGAAAAAUGGGAUCAUUGAAGAAAAUGGACUCAAAGCACAACUCAAUUCAAGCUUGAUCUUGGGGCCUAUCCUCUUCUGCUGAUAAACUCAACGAAUCAAAAAGGGUGCAUUCUCUUUUUUCUAGGGCUACCUUUGUGGGUGUGGCCGAGCCCAGCCACAUUGAAUCAACCAGGCACACACAAGGCUGGAUGCUCCAAGGUCACCCAGGGCAGCAGAUGACGCCUUCAUGCCGUAGCUUUGCCCAGGGCCUCCCUCUCCAGGUGUGUCUACGUGCUUCCCCACACGUCCCUGUCUCAUCCUAGGUUCCCUCCCCUCUUUCCCAGCCAGAGCCUCUGGGCUAUUGUUGGACCACAAGUCGU